ACCUAGCCCUAGACAUUUUGGUGCCGUGACCAGGAUCAGGAUAUUGGAAAUUGUAUAUACCAAAGGAGAACAAAUUGAAGGAAAAGGCUAAGGAUACAAGGAGAUUAAGGGAUAUAAGGAAGAGAGAGUAUAGCAAAGGGAUAAUUAUAUACGCCAAAUUUGGUGAGCCCAUUCCUUUUUUUUCCAUCUACCUACUAAUAUUUUCCUAGUGUCGAUAUUUGAUAGAUUUUGUGGUAAAGUUUCUGAUAUUCUGGUGUUUGUUUGUUUAAAACGUGAGGAUUAUUUAAUUUAAUUACACAACGUAGGAUUUGUCGUAUUCAGCAAUGUCUUUAGCUUCCAAAAAAGCCGCAGAGCCAAUGAAACGACGAAGUUACAUUAAGGGUAGACUGACAAUUUUUAAAUCGUAUUUAGAGGAUAUUAACGAUCUAGAAAAACUAUCAGAUCAGCAAAUUUCAGAGCUACGAUUAAGAUUAGCUAAAUUAGAAGCGUGUUUCUCAACAUUUGAUGAUUUACAGUCCGAGAUUGAAAUUGAAUCUGAGGAUACGAGCGAACAAAUGAAAAUUCGUUCUGAGAUCGAAGGUCAAUUUUAUUCUUUAAUUUCUCAAGGGCAAUGCAUUUUAGACAAAUUAGAAGUUAAUGCUAAACGUAAAAGUCUAGUUCAUCAAUCCUUUAGACAAUCUGGAAGUUUCGAAAGUGCAGACGCAUUUACUAGUUCUAUAAAAUUACCCACAAUUAAGUUACCCACCUUUGAUGGGACUUAUAGCAAAUGGUUAGAGUACAGAGAUACGUACGACGCACUAAUUCAUAAAAACGAAAAUAUUGACCCAAUAAAUAAGUUUCAUUAUUUACGAUCCUCAUUAGAGGGUAGUGCGGCAUUAAUAAUCAACUCACUAUCGUUUUGUUCAGAUAAUUAUAUCCUUGCGUAUGACUUACUGUGUCAACGAUUUAACAAUAAAAGACUUUUAAUAAGUAAUCAUAUGAAAGCAUUAUUUAAUAUGGAAUGUGUUUCAAGGGAGUCUGAAAAAUCAUUGCGUUUUAUGAUUGAUAAUAUAACUAAGAAUCUGAGGGGUUUAAAGUCGUUGGAACAACCGGUAGAAUAUUGGGAUACCAUAAUAAUUCACUUAUCAGUAAAUAAACUAGAUAAUUCAACUUCUAGGAAAUGGGAAGAAUAUAAAAGUUCUAUAGGAGAUAUACCAACACUUCAAGAAUUCUUUAGAUUUUUACGUGAUCGAGCUGACGUAAUCGAAUCGAGCAAGUCUAGUAAAUUAAGUGGAAAUAGCAAAAAUGAAAGGACUACGAAUUUGAUUGCGUCUGCUCAGGUUAACAAUAAUCGUCCCUUGAAUUGUGUCGUUUGUAAACAAGAUCACCGCUUGUUCGAGUGCACGAGGUUUAUUUCUAUGAGUUUGACAGAAAGAAACGAAGUUGUAUCAAAAAAUAAAUUGUGUCUUAAUUGUUUUAAACCUGGACAUCGCGCGUUUAAUUGUAAAUCAUCUGGCUGUCAAAUAUGCAAGUAUAAACAUAAUUCCUUGUUGCAUAGGAAUAAACCUCAAACAACAGAUAAAAAUGUUAAUUCGAACAGCAGUGUGCAUCAGGCGAUAAUCGAACCGGGAGUAACCUCAAUGCCGUCCGAGUUGAUCACUGUGCCUAAGUCACAUGUGUCCGCUCCGGCGGCGCAGCUCGCCGCGGAACCGGUUUCCUUAUCUACGAUCGCCACUAGACACGUACUUCUUUCAACCGCGCUAGUUAAAGUAUUGAACAAAUUAGAUAAUAAAUAUUAUGUGGCACGCGCAUUGCUGGAUUCUGGUAGCCAAAUAUCGAUUGUAACUGUAGACUUAUGUAAUAAAUUAGGGUUGUCGCGCACAGGAACUGAUGAAAGUUUGAGUAUUUAUGGUAUAGGAAAUAGUAAAGUACAAGUAGCAAAUAGCUGUAAGUUAUUGAUAAACUCAAUGCAUAGCGAUUUUUCGGUAGAAGUUCACUGCAUGAUUUUGCCAAAAAUUACGAAUAAGUUACCAAAUGUAAAGGUAAAGGUAAAUGAAUUGAAUAUUCCCGGUGACAUAUUCGUGAAUUUAGCGGAUAGUAGAUUUUAUGAACCUGCCGACGUAGAUAUGUUAAUAGGAGCAGAUUUGUUUUGGGACAUAGUGACCGGCCAGCAAAUAAAGUUAGAUAAGGGUUUUCCCACAUUGCAGAAUUCCAAGUUAGGUUGGCUCGUCACUGGUCCAGUAUAUAGUAGGACUGCUCCACGGUAUGAGGUAAAAUGUAACUUAACUACAAGUUUAAGUGAACAAUUAGAAAAAUUUUGGAAAAUUGAAGAAGUCUUAAAUAUAAAUAAAAAGCCGUAUAGCUCUGACGAAGAAAUUUGUGAAAAACAUUUUGUAGAAAAUACCAUUAGAUUGAGUGACGGUAGGUUUUGCGUGAAGAUGCCAUUUCACACCUCUCCUUCCAUACUAGGCGAUUCGUUAGGGAAGGCUAAAUCACGUUUUAUUAAUUUAGAGAAACGGUUUAAGAAACAACCUGACGUGAAGAGUUCCUAUACAGAAUUUAUAAAGGAAUAUGAACUAUUAAAUCACUUGUCUGAGACUAGGAAGCCUGCCUUUGGAUACUAUUUACCGCACCAUCCCGUCAUUCGCGAAAAAAGUGAGACCACGAAACUUCGUGUCGUUUUCAACGCGUCAGAGAAAACGAGUAGCGGGUAUUCGUUAAAUGAUAUCCAAAUGGUAGGUCCAGUUAUUCAAGACGAUUUAUGCAGCAUAUUGCUCAGGUUUAGGCAACACAAAUUCGUCAUGACGUCAGAUAUUGAGAAAAUGUAUAGGCAAAUAUUAAUAUCGGAAAGUCAACGACAUUUACAAAUGAUAGUUUGGAGGGAUAGUGAUUACGAACCGUUAAAGUAUUUAAAGUUGAACACUGUUACCUACGGAACCGCGUCCGCUCCGUUUUUAAGCACUCGUUGUCUUUUACAGUUAUCACAUGAGUGUGAUGAUUUAGAGAUAAAGAAAAUAAUUAAGCGUGAUUUUUUUAUGGAUGACCUAAUUACUGGGCAUCAGACUGAGGAGGGUUUAAAUAGAAUUUGCCGAAUAAUUACUAAAACCUUAAGUUCAGCUGGAUUUAACUUACGAAAAUUUCGAUCAAACGCAUCUAAGUUAUGUUGCGAAAAUAAAUCAAAUGAAGUGCAAUCCAUUACUGAAUUCAAAACGGUUACUAGCACUUUAGGUUUAACUUGGUCGCCCGAGUCUGAUGUAUUAAAAUUUUGUGUACAAGUAGACAACCAUGAAAAAAUUACCAAGCGAAGUAUAUUAUCUUCUAUUGCAAAAAUUUUCGAUCCGCUAGGUCUUUUAAGUAUUUUUGUGAUUAAGGCUAAAUUAAUACUACAGAAGUUGUGGUUGGAUAAGUAUGGAUGGGACGACCUCGUAACGGGAGAAAUACAAACUUUGUGGCGCAACUUUAUUAAAACCAUGAAUUCUCUCAACUGUGUUGAAGUACCUAGGCAUGUCAUGUGUGCCGAGGUAGUACAUAUAGAACUUCAUUUUUUUUCUGAUGCUUCUAUGUGUGCAUAUGGGACAUGCGCCUAUGUGCGCUCAAUCAGUCGAAACGGAAACAUUCAUGUUCAAUUACUUUGCGCGAAGUCAAGGGUCGCUCCAUUAAAGGGUCUAACUAUACCUAAGCUUGAGUUAUGCGGCGCGUUGUUGUCCGCCGAGUUAGGAGAAAAGGUGACUCACUCCUUGCGUUGUAAUGUGGUUCGUUGUGUCUACUGGACGGAUUCGAUGAUCGUGCUCGGGUGGUUGCGUACCGAUCGCGCAGUUUCAAAACAAUUAAAGGUGUUUGUUGCAAACAGAGUAAUUAAAAUUAUAAAUUUAACAAAGGAUUGUGAAUGGCGAUACGUACCAACAGAUGUAAACCCAGCUGAUUACAUUUCCCGAGGCGUAGAUAUAAUGAAUGAUUCCGUGCAGAAAUUAUGGUGGGGUGGGCCACCCUUUCUAUCGUCAUCAGAGACUGAUUGGCCGAAUGUAGACAGGAAUAAAUUAAAAAAUGUCCAGUUACCUGAAGUGAAACUUGUAAGCACGUUGGUAGCAAAUGUAAACAUUAAAAAUGAUUUAAUUGAAUUUGAACGUUAUUCUAAGCUAAAGAGAUUACAAUAUACCAUGGCCUACGUCCUUAGAUUUAUAAAGAAUUGUAGAAUUAAGCAACGUGAAAAUAGACUUAGUUGUAGUUAUUUUAGUGUUGAUGAAUGCAAUGAGAGCAUGUUUUAUUUAGUUAAAUUGUCGCAGUUAGAUUCAUUCAGUAGUGAGUAUCAUCAGUUAUUAAUCAAUAAGCCCUUAAGUAAGAAAAGUAAAUUAUUAUCUCUUAGUCCGUUUAUGGAUUGUAAACUUAAAGUUAUGCGUGUAGGAGGUCGUAUUCGCAACGCACCUCUUCCCUAUGAUAAAAAGCAUCCCUUUUUGUUGGAUUCCAAUCACCGAUUAUCGAGGCUUAUUUUUGAAAACGAACACAUUAAGCUAUUUCACGGUGGAUGUCAAUUAAUGGUAUCAGCUGUUCGAGAACAAUAUUGGGUAAUUAAUGCUCGAAAAAUAGCUAGGAGUGUAGUUCAUAGCUGCAUAGUUUGUAAGCGAUUUAGGUUUAAGUCAAUAGCGCCUAUUAUGGGGAACUUACCCAUGCAACGUUUGAAGCCAGGGACGCCUUUUGAAACUUCUGGAGUCGACUUAGCCGGUCCAUAUCUCAUAACUGACAGGAAGGGUCGUGGUUGUAAAAUCAGUAAAUCAUACAUGUGUUUAUUUGUUUGUUUUGCAACUAAGGCUCUGCAUUUGGAAGUUGUCAGUGACUUGAGUACUGACGCCUUUUUAUUGGCUCUUAGGAGAUUUAUUUCGCGGCGUUCAAAACCUAAUGUAAUAUAUUGCGAUAAUGCGACAAAUUUUUUAGGCGCUAGCAAUGAACUAAAUAAGUUUUUAUUAACUAACAAGGAACAUAUAAAUACUUUUUGUUCAGAUGAAGGUAUGAAAUUCUCAUUCAUACCGCCAUAUGCCCCAAAUUUUGGAGGACUAUGGGAGGCAGGGGUGAAAUCGGCUAAAUUUCAUAUGAAAAGAAUAUUAGGAAACAAGCACUUGACAUUUGAAGAGCUUUCCACAUUAUUCGUUCAAGUGGAAGCCAUACUAAAUUCCAGACCUUUAUUUCCUAUGUCUUCCGAUCCUAAUGAUCUCCAACCCCUUACUCCUGGGCAUUUUCUCGUCGGUAAACCAUUGAUAGCUCUUCCCUCUCCUGACUUGUCAAACAUUAACUGCAAUCGACUUCACAGAUACGAACAAUUAGAACAUAUGAGACAAUGUUUUUGGAUGAGAUGGCAGCAUGAUUACGUCACUGAACUGCAACAUCGUACGAAAUGGCGGCAUGCGGAUAUACAAUUACAAAUUGGAGAUAUGGUCCUCAUUAAGGAUCUCAACUUGCCUCCCUUGAAAUGGAAAAUAGGGCGGAUACAGGACUUGCAUUUGGGCAAGGAUGAAGUGGCCAGAGUAGCCGACGUCAGGACAGCUAAUGGUACCGUUCGUCGUGCAGUAAAUCGCUUGUGCCCCUUGUUCAACAGCGAUAAUUGGUUGAAGGAGCAACCUUCAAGGGGGGAGGAUGUUGACGCCUAACCCUACGUCGAGAGCGGGGGGUCUGCCCGCCUUCCCCCCUCCUCGUCACGGAGUGUAUAUAUGGGAGUGCACCGGAUCAUCGAUCAUCGAUCGACGACUAGUUUUGUAUUCAUUCCGCUCAUAAGGACAAUUAAUAUUGUAAAAAGUUUAAAAGUAAUAAAUCAGAUGCCGAGUUAUUGGAAUAGCAGGUACCGAUGAGAAAUGCGAGUGGCUGGUCAAAGAACGAGGAUUUGAUAGUGCUGC